CAAAGUGUUGCCAGAAAGAGGAGAAAGUUAAUGUUUACCAAUGCUGUGGCGGUAAAUGCCCCAUCAUCUGACAACGCUGAAUCCAAAAGAAAAUACGCAUUAAAUGGUUUGUGGAAUACUUUCGUAAAUACUGCCAGUGAAUAUGAAGUGAAGCAAUACCUAUUAAAUUCUUCUAAAGUUAUGAAAAAGGUCCUACCAACCAUUGUCAAUACUGCUGUGAAGAGGUAUGAACUUGGCCAAAGCAACCUUGUUCGAUCUGUAGCAGUACUCCAUGAAGGUGGGAUAUCAAGCAAAAGCCAAUACAAUAGAAAACGAAGCAAAGAGAUCUUUGAAAUUGAUGAAAGUGGAAAGAAACACCAGGUCACAUAUAUGGAUAAAUGCAAAAUUCCUAAGCUUGCUGAC